rnacentral:rRNA from 1 species
GACGAACGCUGGCGGCGUGCUUAACACAUGCAAGUCGAACGGAAAGGCCCUGCUUUUGUGGGGUGCUCGAGUGGCGAACGGGUGAGUAACACGUGAGUAACCUGCCCUUGACUUUGGGAUAACUUCAGGAAACUGGGGCUAAUACCGGAUAGGAGCUCCUGCUGCAUGGUGGGGGUUGGAAAGUUUCGGCGGUUGGGGAUGGACUCGCGGCUUAUCAGCUUGUUGGUGGGGUAGUGGCUUACCAAGGCUUUGACGGGUAGCCGGCCUGAGAGGGUGACCGGCCACAUUGGAACUGAGAGACGGCCCAGACUCCUACGGGAGGAAGCAGUGGGGAAUAUUGCACAAUGGGCGGAAGCCUGAUGCAGCAACGCCGCGUGCGGGAUGACGGCCUUCGGGUAGUAAACCGCUUUCGCCUGUGACGAAGCGUGAGUGACGGUAAUGGGUAAAGAAACACCGGCUAACUACGU